rnacentral:lncRNA from 1 species
CUGGUUAAAUACUCACCCCCUAAAUACUCACCCCCAACACAACAGAAGCCAUAUGGGUGGAGCUGUUCUCUUCAUGUGGCCUAUGGUCAUUUAUUUCUCCACUCACAAGUGGCCUCUAACAUAAUUGGUUAAGUCUCUUUUCCAAGCCCCGAACACCCUGGUUGGUUAGCAUUUGUCUGCAGGCUGGAAUGGUAUCUUACAUCCCCUUCUCUUAAUACAGAGCAGCAGACUUUAAUUUGAACCAUAUGCCUGUCUUCUAGGGAUGGUUUAAAUGCCAGAGCUUUACUAUCCAGUCUGAGACUUGAAAUCCUUUGUUCUAGGCAAGAUCAGGAGCCUGGGGCUAUAUGGGGCAGUGAUACUGUGGCCCUAAAAGGAAGUACAUCAUCAAAGGGGUGUGUCUGUGUGGUAAGGGGAAAGAGGCAACGGGUGGCAUGAAUUUAAAA